CUGUGGCCCCUAUCAUAUGGUAGAUUCUCCAUAAACAUUUGUCAAUCUAGCACACAUCUAGUUCUUACCAGAUUGCUCCGGUGCUGUGAGCCCAAGAAUGGGAAAAUGAAAGCUGGAUAGAGUAAAUGGUGAUUCGUGCUAGGAUUGUAAUUCUGGCCCUGACCUUUGACUCUGUUUGAAAAUCUUUAUUGCUAGAUGCCAGUGGAAGCAGCAGCUGUUACAGAGCUAUUAGGGGUGUGGCAAUUUCUGCUCCCAAAGCCAAAACUGUUUACUGGGGAAGCUUUGGCUUUACUGCUGUUGAUUCCCUCGACAAGUUUGUAUUAUUUCCACGUCAAUAAUGACGAAGGACUAGGGAGGAAAAAUGGAGGCAAGAGAGAGCCUAGAAUUGUAAUUGUGUGUUAUUGGCAUAGGCAUCAGGAUUGGGAUUUGGGGGGUAUUUGGGUCAAGAGGAAAGCUAGAAAGCAGAGAAGUUACCUCUCCCCCCCCGCCCCCCGCCACAGCCAGGAGUGAUAUUCUGUGUGUGAGUGGCUCGCCCAUUGUGUCUGUGACGGAUGCAUAGAGUUCUGAGUGGUGUCUUGCGAGGAAGUAUUCUCUUCCCAACAAUGAGGACCUCGUGAGUCACCGCACAGUGAGGUUCUGUGGGAUGGACAUGUGGGAGAAUUCGUAACGGCUAGAAGAAGUUGAGUUCUCAUGAUGCAGUUUGUGGACAAUGGGUGCACGAGUCUGUUUCGGAAGAUGGUUUGUGUAUCACUGGCGCAAGGAUGAUGCAGUGGUCUCUUGAGUGGGGUGUCCCAAAGAAGAGAAUUAGGAUGGCUGAUUCAUCCGUGCAAGAGAGCCUUAUUGAGCCCAAAUUAUGUGCCGUUGUGGAAAGUAGAAAAGAAUCCAAGUGAAUACAAACGCAGCUUCUGCCCUGAAGGGGCUCCACAGACUUGUGGAAGAGAUAGGCAAGCAAAAAUGAUUAUAUACCAUGAGGUAAGUCCUUAUAGAGGGAUGGCCAACACACUAAGUGAAACUCUACUCUUAAUGGAUGGAGAGAGGUAACACAACAAAAGAAAACCAAAAAAAAAAAAACAGGAGAAAAUUUGACCAGAGCCUUUUCCCUCUAUUUUUCAACACUUCUUUCGAACUUCUGUUGUAUUGAGUAGGUCCCUUUUUUUUUUUUAUUAAAAAAAAUUUUUUGUAAAUAUUUAUAUUUGAGAGAAAGGGUAGACAGAACAUGAGCGGGAGAGAGGCAGAGAGAGAGGGAAACACAGAAUCCGAAGCAGGCUCCAGGCUCUGAGCUGUCAGCACAGAGCCUGACGCGGGCCUCAAACCCACGAACCGAGAGAUCGUGACCGGAGCUGAAGUCAGACACUUGACCCAGUGAGCCACCCAGGUGCCACGUAGGUCUCUUUUGAUUGUCAGUCAACCCACCUCGAGGGGCGCCUGGGUGGCUCAGUUGGCUGAGUAUCCGGCUCUUGAUUUCAGCUCAGGUCAUGAUCUCACAGUUCCUGGGAUCAAGCUCUGUGCCAAUGGUGGGGAGCCUGCUUGGGAUCUUCUCUGUCUCUGCCCCUUCCCAGCUCUCUGUUUCAGAUGAAAAAAGAAAAAAACACACAAAACCCAACCAACUGGAAUUGUUAUAAGCCAAGCUGCGAAUUUGAUUGGCUCCUAUGUGAGGAAAAGAGUCCAAAAGCAACAUAGUUGCAGCCAGGGCUGGCUCCAGGGGUUCCACUCUUUAGGGAAGCUGUGUCGAUAAGCAGGAAUCGCCCCUCCACCCCCCCCCCCACACCCCCCCCCCCCCCCCCCCGGCUUCCAACGUCUUCAGUUCAAGUCCCAGGGGGACAAAGAAUACCUUUCACUGUGGCUAGAGCCCCAGGAUUGACUCUGAAGGUAUCUGAUGGGGUCAGUGGCCUUUCCCUGGACAUGGAAAUGGAGUCAGCCCCACGCAAGCCACAGGGGCCUAGAAUGGGAGGGUGCUGAGCCCCCUCCCCCGCAAGAUAACCCGGGUGUUCUUACCAGCAGGAGGCAGGAAGUGUGGUCUUUUCUAGUCCUGCUAAAAGGAAAGAAAGAGCUUUUUGGAAAUCCCUGACGCAGAGAAUCCAGUAGCUGCGGAUGGCAGUUGGCGUGGAGGGUAUGGAGGCAGGGGUGCACCAAGGUGGGGAACUUGUGCAUUUGGUUGUGAGGUCGAUGAGUCCAGGAGGACAGGGAUCUGGGGGCCUAAUAGCAGAGUUGACUACGUGGGUGAGGCUCUGGAAGGGAGUGUCUCUUUGGAUGUCGGCUUCUGCCAAGAUGGAAGCUCUCCCUGGAGGCCUGAAUGUUCUCCUAGAUAGUAGCCUUUAGAUAAGUCAGGGUUGCAAACUCCAAGCCUCAGGGGGCCAGGCUAAUAAGAAGAAAAUAAGAGCGACUUAGACCAGGUGAGGGCCGUGGGAGACUCGACGGCGCCUGUCUUACCAAAGGGCUGUGUGAGAAUAUGGGCCCGCUGUCGGGCCCGACCUUUGGAGUUGUUGAGAAAGGCCUAAAUCCUUCUGGAUUUUCAUGAAGAUGAGGUGGCAUUUAAUGCCAAUUGAAAACAACCACCAGGACCCUGAACGGGACUAAACAAAAUACAUCUGUGGCCAGAUUUGGUCAGUGGGUCACCAGUGGGCAGUUGCUUAUGUAAAAGGUUGGGGAGGUGAAGAUUCCUGUGGUGAUUUUUCUCUUUUUCCUCCUGCACCCCACCCUCCUAUUACUACCUUCUGAGUUCUUGGGUUUGUCGACGAGCUCGUCCUUUCCUUUACAGAAACGUUUCAGAGAUCCAAGAGUAGCCAUCAUCACUACUUCUCUCCUGGUUUCGUUUACCAAGUGCUGUACCGAACCACCUAGCCUGGUCUCACCUACUGGUGCUUGUUAUCAUAUCUGGUUUAGAGAGAAGAAAAAUGACCUGCCGUUGUCUGCCCGGCCAGCGAGUGGCCGAGGCAGGACUUGGGGCCAGGGUGUGACUCUGGACCCCGUGUGUUUCCGACUGUAGACACUGGGCCGGCUGUCUGCCAGGGAAGGGUUCCUGUGGAUGAAAUGUCUUUGGUGCUUGCUGACUUGCUGGGCUAGAUGCUUUUGAGUCAAGUCUCUCGCUGCCUUCUCAACAGCAACUCCCAGAGGUGAUGUUAUUUAUUCCUGGCUUAAUGAUGAGGAAGCGAGGACUCAAAGAGGUCAUCGGGCUAGUUAAUAAGAGCGCUGCCGUUCAUCAGAAACCAGGGUUCUGCUUCCAAAGCAGAUAGAAGUCCUUACUUCACGCAGGCAACUCUUUCUUUAAGAAACCACGUGUUAGAAUUCUGUGUGACGACGCUUCCACAGAAUCCUAGAAGCUGAGAGUUGGAUGUUGCUCUCGCCCAGGAGCUCCUGCCAGGGAUGGCCCCCUGGGGGACAUUUGGCAAUGGCCGGAGACGUUUUUGUUUUUGUCGUGACUUGGCUCGGGCGUGGGGUGCUCCUGGCAUCUGGCGACACAGGCCGGGGAUGCUGCUGACCAGCCUACACCGCCCAGGACAGCCUCGCCGCAGAGAAUUAUCUGGUCCCAAAUGUCAAGAGUGGUGAGGUUGGGAAAGCCUGGUCGAGUCCUUUGAGAUUCUGGAUACGUGAAUCAUGAAAACCAAAGAUCCGUGAUGUUUGCCUGCAGGGUGAAGAUGUGUUCUGUUUGGUCUAUUUCUUAUGUGUGGAAGUAUUAAUGACAAUCACUGGCCCACAUUUAACACUUGGGAGUUUUCACGUGGAAACCUGGACUUCCAGCUUCUCAAAUCUUGCAAGACCUAGCGAAGCCUGGCAUCGCGCCUCGCGAGAGUACACGUCGUCGUGGCUGCAGCUGCGUAGGUGCUGUCCCGUCUGGGUGGGGCAUCGACCGUCCAGUGUGCCCUGGUCCCUACCUGGCUUGUCCUGCUGGGGUACAUUCCUUGCGGACCCCUCCCUGCUCACAGAUCUCUCAACAACCUUCUCCAGGAGCGGCAGAGUCUCUGCCUCGUGAGGUAGCCCGUUGCGUUAGGGGCAACGUGAGUCAAAGCCAUCUCUGCCCGGGAGGUGGCUGUGCUUGGUUCGCUUCAGUCUGGGUGGAUCCCGUCGAGCCUCUGCAUAGAGCAGAGGAGGAGAGGAAUGUGUUCUCCCCACGACUUCUGAAUCCGAGCUUCCAUGGCCUGCUCAUCCACUGUAUUACCUCCUGUGAAAUCAAACAGGGUUGUUUAUAGGUGAGUGAAGAAAGCCCGUGGUUCACUGAACCAAGAUGAACCCUAAACAGAUGUGCUCACGUGUGGCCUUAUGGCGUUGGUUUUACACGUGAAGGCAGCAUGUUAUUCUAAGAGGAAACGAUGUCUGUGGUCGUGGUCCACAGCAGCCCCCUGCCCCCGAGAUUGGACAUGGGUAUAUGGUAUAGGGUCCCAGAGUCAGUAUGCACACCACGCAGUCUUGUCGGACUGGAGAUGUUUGGCCUUUAUGAUUCUGUUUCUCUUUCUCAAAUGUAGGCAGGUGCCAUCGUUAUCAAUCAAGUGUAGAUCCAUGUACAAAUAUUAUUACACUCCUAUCUGCUGUGUGUGUCUAUUUUCUUAAACGUGGGUGUUAAAAGUACAACAGGCCCACAGUCCUUUUUCCAAAACCCUAGGGGCCAGAUGAGUUUUGGAAUUCAGACGUUUUCAGAUUUUAUUUUAUUUAAAAAAAAAAAUUUUUUUAAUGUUUAUUGAUUUUUGACAGAGAGACUGAGCAUGAACGGGGGAGAGUCAGAGAGAGGGAGACACAGAAUCUGAAACAGGCUCCAGGCUCUGAGCUGUCAGCACAGGGCCCGACGCGGGGCUCGAACUCACGGACCGGGAGAUCAUGACCCGAGCCGAAGUCGGACGCUUAACCGACGGAGCCACCCAGGCGCCCCUUUUUCAGAUUUUAGAAAAGUAAAAAUGUACAUAUGCUGUUACUGUAUAAUCCAUGGUGUGGGUCAGCAUCCCUUCAUUGAAUAUGUUAAUAUUUCUAGAGUGAAAAUAUAAAGGUACUUCAUGCUAAAUGGAACACUUAAAGAUUGUAAAUGGCUUCAUAUUAGUUCAGGUCAAGUUUUAUUACCAAAUAAGUUACCAAAAAACCUUGUUUUUUAGAUUUCAAAAUGAUGGAUAAGGGGUUAUGGAGCUGGUUUACUCAGUAGUAAUGCUCCUAUUGAGAGAGUCUGAGAUGGUUUUUUGUUUUUUUGUUUUGUUUUGUUUUUUUGCCUUUUACUCUACGUAAUGCCCCCUUACUCCAAAAAGUUAGAAACCACAAUGAUGUUCUGUAACUAGGGGGUCACAGACUCAAGUGCUAGGCAGGUAAAAUUAAUAAGCGAAGGGAAGGUAGAUGUAGGGCAGUAGAGAGAGGCGAGGAAUAGCAAAACUAGCUCAUUGCACGGGCUUGCUUGCUCUUGGCAAGUCUAGUUACCUGUUGACAUGGUGAAUGUGGGUGCAGGAACACCCACCUUCUCAUUUUUAAGGAUACUCCAGAACGGUGAUUUUUUUUUGUGAAGUUUAUUGAUACUUAAAUAUCAGCAAUGAAAAAGGAAAAGAAAAGAAACCGCUGGACGUAGGCCAGAGAAAAUCUAUCUGCAAGCUUUAUCUGGCCUUGGGCUGCCUGCUCUGACCUCUAGCUGCGAGACUGAUUCUUACCGAAUGAAAAGUUGGACCGUGGUGUUUUGGUAGUGAACGCUUUCUCGAGAUGGGGAUGGGACAUUUGCUUUAUCACUAUUCGUUGUGCUUUACAUAUAUGUCACAUAAUUUUGCAGUCAGAUGCUCUACCCCUAAGCUAUACCCCCUAUUAUAUAAUUUUGGAGCGUAAAAUAUUUCAAAAGAAAAACACUGGAGCACUGCCUUAUUUUCUAGCCAGUGGGAAGUUUUCUUUCUCAUCUAUGAAUUUGAAAGUUUAAUGUUAUUUAUUUUGGAAAAGGGAAUGAGAACCCCAAGUUAAAAUAGGGCCCUCUUUUUUAAAAAGUUUGAGUGAAGGGGGGUUAGAUUAUAAUGUCCCUGCCUUUCCAGGGCCACAGUGAUCUGAAGUGCCAUUGCAUGUCCGCCCCCGUAUUUGGACUGGGAGGUGUGCCUCAUCUUCUGUCCUCUCAGACCGUAUCCCUGGUCCUAUCCCCAUACCUACUGCCACACGGCUGAUGACUUUCAACUUGAUGUCUUUUCUUUUUUUUUUGAGUUUAUUUAUUUUGGGAGAGAGAGAGAGAGAGCGAGAGAGAGAGGGAGUGCACACAAGCAGGGAAAGGGCAGAGAGAGAGGAAAAGAGAAUCCCAAGCAGGCUCCACACUGUGAGGGCGGAGCCUGACGCGAGGCUCAAACUCACAAACCAGGAGAUCGUGACCUGAGCCGAGAUCAAGAGUCAGAUGCUUAACCGACUGAACCCCUCUGGGUGCUCCUUAAUUUUAUGUCUCUAGUCCUGGCAUCUCUUCAUCUCUAGAUUGAUCUUUGUCUUGAACUUCUCUAUUUAAAAGUCCGGCUGAAAUUCAGCUCAUGAACUGCAUCCUCAAAUUGGCCUUCUUUCCCUGUAUUCCUUAGGCCGUGGGUCAGCAACCUCUGGCCUGUAGGCCAAAUCCUGCCCACUGCCUGUUUUGUGAAAAAGGGUUAUUGGAUCACAGCCACGCACUGCAGCAGCACAGUCAAGCAGAUCUCACGGUGACUGUAUGGCCCACGGAGCCCAUGCUAUUUACCGCCUGGCCCUUUGCAGGAAGAGUUUGUGGACACCCGCCCUGGCGCACUGAAUGCCGGAACCGCAUCUCCUCUGUCACCUGCGAUCCCCCUCUUUCUCCUCCAUCUUCUUUAUAUCCAGGCUCUCCCUGCCAUCUGGCAGCUCUGCCUCUGGACUGUCUUCUGACUUGGUCUCUGCCUCUUGGUGGCCUUAGUUAGUUCAAGCUUGCGGGGUUUUUUCUUUCUUUCUUCUUUUUUUUUUUAAUGAAAUGUAUUGUCAAAUUGGUUUCCAUACAACACCCAGUGUUCAUCCCAACAGGUGCCCUCCUCAAGGCCCAUCACCCGCUUUCCUCUCCCCCCCCACCCCCCAUCAACUCUCAGUUUGUUCUCCGUAUUUAAGAGUCUCUUCCGGUUUGAACUUUUUUUUUUUUUUUAACCUGGACUCACAAUUGUCUUCCAACUGGCUUAGCUGGCUUGAGCUGGAUUUUAUCCAUACGUGGGACAUCUGGGCCUCCACUUUGGUCUGACAUGGCCAAUCCAAAUUUUAAUGGUCAGAGCUAUUCCUCUCAAUUAUUUUCUUCUGAUGAAAUCAUGGCGUUCGUAGGACAUUUUAUGUCGUCCUAGUAUUGCUAAAUUGUCUUCGAAACGAUAGUGCUGUCAUUGAGUUACAGUGCGGCAAAUAAUUUACACUGGAUUGUAUGUCACCGUGCGUGAUAUGAUGAAUGUUGUGUUUCACCGUCACGCUGUGCUGACUUUUAGAUGCUGUCUUGUAAAAAAUCUACCUAUUUUAAUUUUUUCUGUUAAGGUUGAAAUGAAUGUGUCCCAUAUUUGUAUUUCUUGAUGCGUUUCCUAUAUGUGUUAUUUGGUCAUUUAAUUGCCAGUUGUCAAUUUCAUUUUUUAAUCACCAGUUUCGGUUCAACACCUGUCUGCUGAGAACCUGUCAAUGCUGGGGUUAAAAAGAUAACGGAUUCCUAGGAAUUUGAGUGGGGAGAGAGACCUACAAGCAGAUAAUUUGAAUACAGCCGGUUGUACUUACUCCAGCAGGCCUUAGGAAGUAUGAAUGCCACAUCUUGAUUUAUUUAUACAUGACAAGGUAAACAAGUUCACAUUCUUCUCAGGUACAUUACGUAAUGAGUGCAGUGACAGAAUCUUGAGGGAACGCAUUCACGACUAGGUACAGGUUUGAUACAAGAUUCAGAAAAUAAAGCGGAUUCUGUUGAAAAUCCGACCGACCCUGUGGUUUAUAGAAGAAACUGUUUUUGAAUAGGAGGAGCCUCUUUGUAGCCAGCGACACGAAAACAAUAUUAAGUUCAUCUCAGCUCUCCAGGUUUUAAGACUCGUUUCUGAAGUCUUGCUAUUCCCUGUGAAUUACAGCUUAUUAAUUACUUGCCUAGACUCCUUCCUUUUGAUUGGUCCCAGCAUGUUUCUCUCUGUCUUUUCUCACAGUUCUUUUUUUUACGUGUCUUCCUUAUCAGAGAUACUUCGGCCUAGUUGUCCACUUGAUCCCUCCAUUCAUGUUUCAUUAGCAGUUUUUCUGUCAUUUCUGAACGGGUUCGUUAAAUUUCUGCCUCCUAAAGAGUUUAUAGUAUAAGCGGUAGACUGAGUGACAAGGUACUCAAAUGAAAAUAAAUGUUCAGAACUGCACAGAAAUUCUCCUAAGCAAUGACCAGCUCCAUUUAUAAGUCUACCAGCUUGGACUUCACGUGGUCGCUGGAUACUUUGAUGCAUAGACAGGACUGGCCACUUGAACCCAUGCGCAUCUGUACCUUGGGGAAAUACACGAAAGUACUUCUACUUCACUAGGUACGGUGGGUGCAGGAUAGAUGUAGCGUGGGCGCUGGCAUGGGGUCGCUGAGACGUGCCCAGGGGUCUGUGAAGCCUUCUCUGACAUGUGACACUUGAAUAAUCUUGAGAACAGGAAGGUAGGGGUGAUGGGUGGUAGAGGAUUCCCAGGGAGAAGAAAAAUUCUCGGGGGAAACCUAACCCACUGACCAUUUUGUCCUUUAACUUCAUGUUUUGUUUGCUUGUUUGUUUACUAUAAAUUGGAAAAAGACGACACUAUCUGAUUGCUAGCAGUGGGAAAAGUCUGUCCAGCUCUUAUUUUCUAAUGAGGUAGUGAACUAAUGGCUGUUUGUAGAUCCAUAUGUUCUUAAGUCCAGAGCAAUUGUGGUGUUUAAAUUCACAAGCCUCUGGAUGCAUUUCCAUCCAAUAGAUAGAGUAAGUUGGUUCUUAAAAGCUUUGAAGCUCUAAAAUCAGGGGACUUAAAUGGCUCAUAGUUAAGUAACCAGCUCUUGAUUUCGGCUCAGGUCAUGAUCCCACGGUUCAUGGGUUCAAGCCCCAUCCCGUGUCAGGCUCUGCGCUGAUAGCUUGAAGCCUGCUUAGGAUUCUCUCUCUCCCUCUCUCAACCCCUCCCCACUUGUUCUCUCUCUCUUCUCUCAAAAUAAAUCAACAUUAGUAAACAAGGUUUAAAACCAGUGUACCCUUAUUUUCUUUGCUUAAUAAAAACGGACAGCCAUCUUCCCCCAAAAUAGACAAUUUUUAAUUUUUUCUGCUAAGGUUGAAAUGAAUGUGUCCCAUAUUUGUAUGGGAAAAUCUGUGGAGGCAUCAUUUCUCACGGUGAAGCUUAUCCUUUCCUUAAUUUGCAUCAUGCUUGUUCAUCUCCCCUUAAAACCUUUUCACUACUCUCACGGCUUUUACCUUCUUGGACAUGCUAGGAUGUGUAACGUUCCUCAAACAACCCCAAGAUGGCAGGACUAAAACACACGAACACCUGUGACCGUGGACGUCAACUUUUAGAGACGGGCAGUAUUGAUCGGCCUUUGUGCUCAUCGGUGGAGGACCAUUGUUCGAAAAGCUUCCGGGCCAGUUUUGGGGGAUCGUGGUUUGAGGACCACUGCAGUAGAAUUGGGGGAGCCCAUAUGUGCAGAAGGUUGAGGAAGCCAAGCUGGUGAUUGAGGAGGUGUCCUGUGGUGGCAGGUGAGCCAGGACUGUGGAGGAAGGGGAAGGGACACGAGUGAAAGACGAGGCAGGAAGCAGGAAGCAGGAAGCGAUCGCAGCAGCCUGAGGGAGAGGUGAUGGCCCCCAGAGCAGGACAAUGGCGUGGGACUGACGUGAGAAACUAUUUAGCACCAUGGCUUUAGGGGCGAAGAAGGGAGGGGUUGGCGUGAUUCGGGUUAUGUCUGGAUGUUAUUUACUGAAAUCGGUGACGCAGUGAUUAUUCGCUUUUCCAUUCGUUUCAAAUGCUUCUCUUUUUUGAACCAUAGAAUUCUCACACCUGCCUCGACUUUCUGUUGACUUUGUUUUCAUUGACACGUGGCUUCGGGUGGGUGUGUUUGUGCGCACCGACACCACACGGUGCUAAUAAUAACUGUGGAUGUGUCAUGUGUUCUCACUCUGGCAGAGCUGGGCUCCUUUGGCUUUCCUUUUUCAGUUGCUGUCUCCCAUUUCUGUGUAGAAGUGAAUUUUGGUAUCGUUUCUAGUUCCUAGAAAAAUUCUAUGAUUGUGAUUGGUCGAGAGCACAUUAAUCCAUAUAUUCAGUGGGUCCCUGCUAUGGGGUGGGUCCUGAGAACCCAAAAAUAAGUAAAUCCCAGGCAUUGAUGGCCUGGCAUAUCUGUGAACUAAACUUUGGGGAGGAUUGAUGUCCUUUCCCGUGAGCCUGGCACAUCUCUUUCUACACACAAAGGUUUUCUGUGCUUCCUGAGGGCUUUGUUGUCAUAGGAAGAGUGCCUGAUUAGUUCAGUUGGCAAACGUGAGUGGUGUUCAUGUCUGUCUAUAUCUUUAUGUACUAAAUAAAGAUGUGCUAAAUUAGUCAUAGCUGAUCAUUUUUGUGACUUCUUUGAAUUUCUGCGUAUGUAUUAUCUAUGUUUUUAUUUCUCCUUUUCCUUUUCUUUCAGCAAUUUCUUUUUCAUCCCUCAUUUAAUUGGUUAGCCUCGAAAAUAAUGUGUAGCUGUAUAAUUGUUUAUAGCAAUAUUGUCUAAAGGGCGUGUGAUUUCACCCUAAUUAGGCGUUCCAGAAAUGUGGUAAGGUGAACUCGUGUUUAAAUGCGAAUGUCCUAAUCUGAGUGGUUCUCAGUGGAAAUCUACAAGCAUUUUCCCUCUGCUUUUGGAGCCACACACCUUGUAGUGUGUCUGAUGUUUGAGCCUUUGUUCCAAGGCUCAGUCAUAAGAUUGGCAGGCGUGUGGCUUAAAGGCAGAAUACUGAAUUGAGGUAGCCUAACCGUAUGGAGAAAACAAUCACAGUGCACUUGGACGGAGGAAGGAACUGGAAGAGAAAUUUGAAAUGCAGCCUAUGUGGCAAUAGGUUUUUAUUUGUUUCGUUAGUUUUAAUUUUUAAAAGGUUUUUAUUUUUGAGAGAGAGAGAGAAAAUGUGAGCAGGGGAGGGGCAGAGAGAGAGGGAGACACAGAAUCUGAAGCAGGCUCCGGGCUCUGAGCUGUCAGCACAGAGCCCAGCACGGGGCUCAAACCUACAAAUCGCGAAAUCGUGACAGGAGCUGACGUCGGAUGCUUAAUUGACUGAGCCACCCAGGCGCCCCGGCAAUAUAUGUUAAUAUAACUUCUAAAGAAGUGAUCAGCAGGUCACAGGGCAGUGGACUUAACUGCAGCCUUUGACUCUUAGAACAGUCUUUAGGAAUAGAAACCUUGCUCCCUGUAGAUGUGACAUGGAGGUUCUGACGGCCUCUUCCCCC